AUUCGUUUCCAAUUCCACCAUUCCAUUUCCACCAUUCCAUGUUUUCCUCCAACCCCACCAACCCCAAAAUGCCUCGCCCUAAAUCCCGUCGGGAAAAUAAUAGGCCUCAGUCUAAUCGUCGUGAUCGCGAAGUAUUCGAUCGUGCCCCCGCAGAUCCGAGAGAUUUUCGUGGUAGAAAUGACCCAUCUGGAUACGAUUACAGGGAUCGGGAUGGAUAUAAUAUGCGCGAUACGGCGAUAGGUACUAUCGUGGUAGUAACAGAGACGUACCGGGAGGAUAUCGUCCAUCGGAUGGUGAUCGUGAUAGCCAACCUUAUCGUGGUGUUGAUCGUGGAGGGGAUCGUGGGGAGAAAUUUGUGAAAGGGGAGACAUUUCUACGUGACGGCCUUGGCGGACUUGACUGAGGCCCUUCCGCAAACUUAUCUCAAUUUUUCCACUCUAACGCAACCGGCUCUGAAAAAUGACGAAUUCAUACUCCUUUGGAAAACUAGGCUUCGCUGGUGGAAAUUUUAUCUUCAACAGCCCGUUCUUCUCAACACGACGGGCAUUCAGACGAAACGUUUGUGGAACAGAAGAUUGAAUUUGUCUCCCCCGCUCUGGGAUCGGAACCUUUCGAAGUCUUAAAACUUUACAAACCCGCUGUGUUUGCAGAUCUGCAGUUGAAUGAGGAGACGAAAAAGUCAUUGAUGGUCAAGUUUCAGCGGAAAUCUUCUUGGCCGUGUUUAGUUACGUCCCAGACUCCCAGGUGAAAUUGGAGUUUACCGUUUGUUUCUUUCUUACAGACGCUUAUUUCACCCGAAAUAAGGCAUUUGUGUUAUCGCUUCACAAGGCUUAGCUCCGUAUGCUGUUGGUAUUUUGGUUGAAGGCUCCCCUACACCAAUAGUCGAAUUAGAGGAUCUUCGCCGUUUAAUGAGUCUCAAAUUUAAACAGUCGAAAAUUCCGGUCUUGCCAUUAAGCGCUCCUUGGACGACGGCUCAAUGCGACGCUAGAGGAAUGCCUUAUUUAAUAUUUUUGUCAGAUUCGACUUUCGAGCAAGGGAUAUACGGUCACUGGUUUUCUAUCUUUAAUACAUUCGAAUUAAAUAACCAUUCCCUAAUAAUACGUACGAACUUCUGUGUGAAUAAAAGAUACGAUACAUUACGUGGCAUAUUCAUUUAGAAUUGUAAAGAGAAUAAAAGAAUCAUCCUGACCAAAUACCAAAGAUAAAAUAGAGAGUACCAAUGUCCUUUAAUCCCA